rnacentral:misc_RNA from 1 species
GAUGAAGAACGUAGCGAAACGCGAAAGGUAAUGCGAAUUGCAGAAUCAGUGAGUCAUCGAAUCUUUGAACGCACAUUGCGCCCCUUGGUAUUCCGGGGGGCACGCCUGUUCGAGCGCCAUUACACACCCCAAGCUAAGCUUGAUGUUGGGCGAUGACUGUCACAGGACACGCCUGGAACGUAUGGGCGCCGCCGCCGGAUCACGAGUGUAGCAAGACGCAAGUCAUCGCUCGGUCGGUCCUGGCGGUUGGCCGCCGCGGCUCAUGGUAACACAUGGGCCAGUAACUUUUCACAAGUUUGGCCUCGAAUCAGGCGGGGAUACCCGCUGAACUUAAGCAUAUCAAUAAGCGGAGGA